CACUUGUAAAGAGGGAUCGAUGUGACAUAACUUAAUAAAUAAUUGUACUAGAAGAAUUUUAUUAAAAUUUGGCGAAAUCAGCCGAGCCGUGCGAAGGACAUCGCGGUAAAACUACAUUGCCUCACUUUGCACCGACAUCCGAUCUUCGUCCGCAGUGAUUUGGUAUCAUCGUAAGCUUCCGGGAUUAGUAAUAGCAAAGUAAUAGUUGUCGCGUUUAUCCAAAUCAGCAACAUUGAAGUGAACCUGAAAAUUCGGGAAAAUUAUACAAGAAAUAAAACUGUAACUUACCGUAUGCUUCAUAAGCCAAUCCAUUAUCAUACUCCGUAGCAGAUGUUUAUGUUGAAAACAUAACAUAAUUCGACACAGAUCUUUCAAUAGGGCUAAAGUCGCAAUGUACUCAAAUGGAGAAAAAUCAGUUUUAAUAUACGGCGAUGCUUUUCUAAAUGUAGUUUUUAUUGUAGGUAUAAAUUACUUUAUGACCAUGUUUUUCCGGAAGCAUCUAUGGUUAAACCUUAUGACAAUAUAACAAAGAAUUUAAUUCCUAUGUGCUUUUAGUGGGUAGAAACUAAAAAAAUGCUUACGCCCAAUUUGCAUCCCAGUCGUGAUUUCGCCCUUCAGCAACCACCAUUUGCGGAAGGGCUAAACGCUGUACAUAAUUUUCAUAAGGGCGCGAUAAAAGGGCUAAACUGACUCUGUCUUGCUGGGUAGGGCUGGGUAAAUGGGCGAGCUUGACAGUAUACUUUUUAAUAGGGCUCAGCAAAUGGGCGCAUAGAAACCCAAUGUAAAUGAUAGGGCGCGUGCAUCUUUUCUUCGAAUUUCAUGAAAAUAUCGAAAUAUUCGAAUGUUUAUGUGCAACAACUAUCGAGUAGACAUGAUCCUAGUAGAUAUUGCUUAUCAUUUAUAUAAUAGAACCGCCGUUUAAAGAAUAAUUUUGUGAAUAAUAACCGUACGCCCGGUUCUGUCAAAAAAUGUAAGUUUAGCCUUUAUAUUCCAUAUGAGAAGAAGGGCCUAAGUCGAAAUCUCGAAGAAAAUGCAUGUUUCGCCGUUUUGUUUUCUUUAAUUAUAAAUCGAACUAAAAACCAUUUUAACUAAUUUUCACCUCAAUCUUGUAGUAUUUUUGUCGCAUAAUGUCAUAAUAGCGAAAACGCAGUUUGUUUACAUUUGCGAUUUAAGCCCUAAUGAAAGAUCUAUGUCGA